AGCAUCUGCAUUUCCUUAGAAUCAAAGGGAAGUGAUUACUAGUUAUGGUUCUUUGGAAACUAAAGCUAAGUGGUUAGAAACAAAAGCUGGCUGAGCCCUGGAGCUGGAGGAGACAGCUACUCAAACAUACUUUGGUAGAAUACUCACUGUACAUUCAAGGACGGCAAUAAAUACAGUCAUACCCGAGAUAGCUACAGGCCAGGAGCCCCUUGCUUCACAAUUAGAAAUCCAGAGUCAAGAGGCUACAAAGCUAGGCUUAGAGAUUUGUUCAGUCUAGCAGCUUCUCACAACAGAAAGUUUAAUCCACAAAUUCGAGGGUUUUGACAGAGAAAAUUAGAAGUGUUGUUAUUUGUCACUAGAAGAAAUCCUAAAUGAACCAAGCUACAUAGUCUAAGAAAUGGGUUAUUCAUGGUGUCAUGAAAGAAAUAAAUUCUGGUUGCACUUUAAAAGCAAAAAGUAGAUGCCGUAUGUGAUGGCUGCAAUCUUCUUUUUUUAAAGCUGUACCUGCUGUAAGCAACUUCCAUCUGCCCAGCCUCUCUUUACUGCUGUGACCUCAGUGCACUCAGGGAUCCACGGUAACCAGGACUGAGACAAACGAGGGGCACCCACCCUCACUGGAUCACUGUCAGCUGAGAAGCAUUGUUCCAGCAUAUCUAAAGCAUCCCAAAUGAAGCGUGUUUUCUGAUGGCCAAUUUCUGCAAGAGGGCAAAGACGGUGGUGAAUGGUGCAAUUGGAUUUCUUACUUGAAAGUUAUUGGACUCUCCCUUGAUUUUGAGCACAUGGACUGUCAAUCCAACAACCAGUCAGACUAGCUUUUGGCCAACAGCAGCUAUUUUGAGUACUCUAUGAUGCCUGGAGGAAACUCCACAAAGAUCAUACGUGCUUGUUCUGACUCCCGAGGGUGCAGCCUCAGCCAGAACUGUUUUAGCUUGUAGCAGACCCUUUGCUCCUACAGAUCUCUGCAAACCGUCUCCAUCUAGGCCAGAGGUGGUCUCCUCUGGCGGCCUAGCAGAAGGGUUCCUGUGAUUGUCACAAAAGCAGCAGUGCCUCGGUUGGUCUGCACCCACUGUUUGCAGCCACUGGUGCAAACUCCCAUUCUCAAGCUGUCGGAGAAGGCUGUUUGGGGAUUUUAACACUCAGCCCAAGAAAAGGCUUCCCUUGGGCGGUCUCCUGAGCUGACAGCAUGAAGAAAGAAGCAUCAGAGGCAGCACAGUGGUCAUCGGCCAGGCUAAAAAAAGGCAAAAGCAACUGGCUCCUUGAGAGCUGAGAAAAGGAAGAUAAUAAUUCAAGACAAUGUCCAGAGCAGGAAGAAGAGGGACGGACGGUGGGUGUAGAGAAAGGACAGAAGGCACAGGCCAGAGGAGAGAAGGUUCUAAGAGCCAGAGAAGAGAAACUAUAGACCCUCUGCGUCUAUCCUUUAUUAUAAAUCUAAUUAUAUAAAAUCAUCAGAGUUACACAAUCAUCAGAUCCUUUCUGUGAAACCCCUGGCAUCUGUCUCUUUAUUGGGAUAGAGGCUACCUUGGCCCAUGGAACAACAGGAUCUAUAAAACACUACCACCGUCAUCUACCACUCACCCAGAUCCUGGCUACCUAUGAAGCCUGCUUUCAUUCCAAAUGAGACUUUAUCUCUGUAUCCACUAAAGAAACAUGAUAAAAAUUAAUUAACACCCUUAAAAAGAAAAAGAUCUCAAGUACCCUGUGCUUGGAGGAUGUAACUCUGGUUGUUGUCAAGGGGAAUCUUGACAGCCCUGCCUAGAAGCUACAAGCUGGCAAGAUGUGCCAAGGGCUAAGGAGUCCCAACUUUCUAGGUGUACUUCAAAGCUGUAACACCUGCAGAGAUAAGGGUCCCUUUAGUGGAGACCUGCAUGAGAGCUGUGACACUACAGGGUACCUUCACCUUCUGUUGCUGUCUACCUGCAGCUGCCUCUGUGAGGAAACUGAGAGGACACAAAUGCUGCCAAGACCAUCACUUGUUGCCAGGGAAAGCAAAAGGCUUCUGGCCAGCUGAUCGGUAACCACCAGUGUGGGGAAGAAAACCCUAUAGGAACUGAAUCCACUCCACUGAGACAUGAAAAGUCUGCUAAGAGGUCCCUAAGAAAUGGUUUUUGAUUUUUUGUUUGUUUGCUUGCUUGCUGAUUCAGAAAACUAGAAAGAAUCUGUUGUGGUUUAUUUGAAUGUGGAAUGUUUCAUCUGAAGCAUAUAUUAAAAUUUAAUUUUCAUUGUGAUUAUGAUAUUCAAAGGUGGAAAUGGACAGAACUUUUAAGUGAUGAUUGGGGCUCUGCCCUCAUGAAUGGCUCAAUUGAUCCAUAUGGUUAUGAGCUAGCUCAAAAAUGGAUUGCUAUAAGAGUGGUUAACUGUGUCCCACACUAGUUCCCUGUUUCUCACCAGGAUCUACCCAGCACCACCUGGGGACCCUGGCAGCAAGAAAGGAAACUCCUCCUCAUCAUACAUGAACCUUUUGGGGGUCAGAACUGUGAUCCAAAUAAACCCUUUCUCUGUAACAACCUAGCCUCUGGUAUUGGCAAGAGAAAAUGGACUAACAGAGUCCAGUCUCUUUAUUUCCACUGCAUGUCAACCAUCUGUGAAUCUGACUGGCUCUGCAAGAGGCUGGCCUGCGACAGGCAAGCCAGCUAUGAAAGUCUCCUAUGUAAGAACAAGACUACCACAGGAAUGCAAAAGAAUCUGCAUCCCCCAAAAAACGAUCUCCCAGAACAAAGAAUUCACUUCUCGGGCAUGAGCAUAGCUUCUCGCUGUGUGAUGCAGAACAAUACAUCUUCCUGACUGCCGAAGAGUCGCUCAGUCUGGGUUUUGUUUUACUAGCAGCCUCAAACAUCCUAACAAACAGAGAAUGUGCACAUAAAGGACAUGGAAAUGCAGUCGAUGCCGUAUUGUAUGUGAAGUCCCCUGUAUGUUUGUAAACACAAGGCAAGAGCUUAGCCAUCAAACCCCCACACAGUCACCAGCUCCCUGGGGAACGUUCUUGGUUUCCCCUCCAACUCACUGGCUGCUGAUGUCAGCCUGAUAAGUCUGUUUUGUCACCUCAAAAAGCUAGAGUUGUGGGCACGAGGCAACCUCUGAAAUGGUCCUGGCCCAGCUCACAUGCCCAAGAGCGGGACCAGGUAAGGGAUUCAGAUGAGGAACUCCUGCUAGGAAACGCUUCUCUCUCUCAAGUACCCGGAGCAGAGAGCCCUGUUGACAGCCACACCAGGUCUCAAGAUUCAGAUCAAGUCAAUCCCUCUCCUGAGAUCUGAAGCUUUCAAGCUCACUGCUCAUAGAGUGGGUGGAAGAUGCCCCGCUGGGACCCUUCAAAAACUGCAACGGAGUAGUCUGCACUGCACGAGUUAUCAGCAAACAGGGAUAUAUUACUCACCAUUCUGGAAGCUGGAAGUGCAGAAUUUAGGUACAGGCAGAUUCAGAUGAGUCUGGUGAUGUCGUCUCCUGGACCUGUACGCUGUAUGGAACCUUCUACCCAUGUCCCCAAGUGCAUGGCACAGAGCAGAUGUUCACUGUCUGGGAACUGAUGGAUGACUCAGAACCUGGAGCAAAGAGAUGAGACAGAGAGCAUGAGCCCUGGACCAGGGCAGACACUACAAGGCUGCAGGAAGGGGAAUCAGCUUCCCAAAGAAGUGGCUGGGUGGUAAGAGAAUGGCACAGGGAGCCUGCCAGCCUGCAAUGUUAGGGUGGAAGAACAUGAGCCAGGAGUUCAGCAUGCUCGCCGCCACUCCAGUGUAGCCAGCAACGCAAAGAACGGAGAUGCCAGCUUGGCUCUGUGAGUCUGGGGUAAAGUCGGACACCUCCUCUCUGUUUCACUCUUUUUUACUACUUUCCAGGAGCCAAUCUAUUAUUGAGGCUGCUGGCCUGCUGGGCUGUUUCUUCCAGCAAGCCCUCAUGGCAGCUGCUUG